GUGGGCGUAGCUCAGUUGGUAGAGCGCCGGAUUGUGAUUCCGGUGGUCGUGGGUUCAAUCCCCAUCGUCCACCCCA
rnacentral:tRNA from 4 species